CCUACGGGCGGCAGCAGUGAGGAAUAUUGGUCAAUGGACGAGAGUCUGAACCAGCCAAGUAGCGUGAAGGAUGACUGCCCUAUGGGUUGUAAACUUCUUUUAUAAAGGAAUAAAACGAGGCACGUGUGCCUUUUUGCAUGUACUUUAUGAAUAAGGAUCGGCUAACUCCGUGCCAGCAGCCGCGGUAAUACGGAGGAUCCGAGCGUUAUCCGGAUUUAUUGGGUUUAAAGGGAGCGUAGAUGGGUUGUUAAGUCAGUUGUGAAAGUUUGCGGCUCAACCGUAAAAUUGCAAUUGAUACUGGCAGUCGUGAGUACAGUUGAGGUAAGCGGAAUUCGUGGUGUAGCGGUGAAAUGCUUAGAUAUCACGAAGAACCCCGAUUGCGAAGGCAGCUUACUAAACUGUGACUGACAUUGAUGCUCGAAAGUGUGGGUAUCAAACAGGAUUAGAUACCCUAGUAGUC
rnacentral:rRNA from 1 species